CAGCCGCCGCGGUAAUACGAAGGGGGCUAGCGUUGUUCGGAAUUACUGGGCGUAAAGCGCACGUAGGCGGAUACUUAAGUCAGGGGUGAAAUCCCGGGGCUCAACCCCGGAACUGCCUUUGAUACUGGGUAUCUCGAGUCCGGAAGAGGUGAGUGGAAUUCCGAGUGUAGAGGUGAAAUUCGUAGAUAUUCGGAGGAACACCAGUGGCGAAGGCGGCUCACUGGUCCGGUACUGACGCUGAGGUGCGAAAGCGUGGGGAGCAAACAGGAUUAGAUACCCCCGUAGUCCCUGUCUCUUAUAC
rnacentral:rRNA from 1 species